GGGGGCGUAGCUCAGUUGGCAGAGUAGCGGACUUUUAAUCCGUAGGUCGAAGGUUCGAGCCCUUCCGCCCUCACCA
rnacentral:tRNA from 1 species